CUUCCAACAGGUUCAAAUGGGGUCUAUUCGUCAGUCAAAACGUUAAUCUUGAAGGAGCAAAAGUUUGUUCAUGAGUUGUCAUGCUCGCUAGGCGAGCAGAAUGGGUCGCUUAGCGAGUCCCAAGAAAAGCCACCAGAAUCACCUACGCUCAGAGGAAUUUCUUGAACUGUCAUGCUAGCUAGGCGAAGCCCACGUGUUAAAAAAAAACAAAAAACGAAAAACGAAAAAAAUAAAAACGAAAAAAAAAACGAAAUAAAUAAAUAAAUGAAUAAAUAAAUAAAUAAAUAAAUAAAAUAUAACAGAAAAUUUUUGGACUUGGGCCUCUCUCAUUUGAGCCCACUGUCGCAACGCGGAAAACAACCGGCGGGAAAAAUACAGAGCCG
rnacentral:lncRNA from 1 species